rnacentral:rRNA from 1 species
AGGACGAACGCUGGCGGCGUGCUUAACACAUGCAAGUCGAGCGGAAAGGCCUCUUCGGGGGUACUCGAGCGGCGAACGGGUGAGUAACACGUGAGUAACCUGCCUUCAGCUUUGGGAUAACCCUCGGAAACGGGGGCCUAAUACCGGGUAUUCAGCUUCUGCGGCAUCGUGGGGGUUGAAAGUUUUUCGGCUGGGGAUGGGCUCGCGGCCUAUCAGCUUGUUGGUGGGGUAAUGGCCUACCGAAGGCGGCGACGGGUAGCC